UACGUAGGGUGCAAGCGUUACUCGGAAUUACUGGGCGUAAAGCGUGCGCAGGCGGUUUUGUAAGUCUGUCGUGAAAUCCCCGGGCUCAACCUGGGAAUUGCGAUGGAGACUGCAAGGCUGGAGUCUGGCAGAGGGGGGUAGAAUUCCACGUGUAGCAGUGAAAUGCGUAGAGAUGUGGAGGAACACCGAUGGCGAAGGCAGCCCCCUGGGUCAAGACUGACGCUCAUGCACGAAAGCGUGGGGAGCAAACAGG
rnacentral:rRNA from 1 species